rnacentral:rRNA from 1 species
GAUGAACGCUGGCGGCGUGCUUAACACAUGCAAGUCGAGCGAGAAGUUUUGAAAAGAUUCUUCGGAUGAACUUUAAAAUGGAAAGCGGCGGACAGGUGAGUAACGCGUAGGCAACCUGCCCCAUACAAAGGGAUAGCAUUUGGAAACGAAUAUUAAUACCUUAUGAAACUUAACUAGUGCAUGCUAGGUAGGUCAAAGAUUUAUCGGUAUGGGAUGGGCCUGCGUCUGAUUAGCUAGUUGGUGAGGUAACGGCUCACCAAGGCGACGAUCAGUAGCCGACCUGAGAGGGUGAACGGCCACAUUGGAACUGAGACACGGUCCAAACUCCUACGGGAGGCAGCAGUGGGGAAUAUUGCACAAUGGGGGAAACCCUGAUGCAGCAACGCCGCGUGAACGAUGAAGGCCUUUGGGUCGUAAAGUUCUGUUCUAGGUGAUGAAAACUGACAGUAACCGAGGAGAAAGCCCCGGCUAACUCCGUG